rnacentral:lncRNA from 1 species
UAAGAUGGGUCCUCUCUUCGUAGGCUAAUGCAUUGGCCCUUUUUUGACCCGUUUUGGGGCGAAAACAAAAACUGACUCCCGGGCAUAUUUUUUUCGGCCUUUAUGGGCAAAGAACUUUAAUACCGCUCAAAAUGAGGCCACCCAGUAGUUAGGUGUGAAUUUUCGAGACCUCUGGCAUCGUUCUAAGAUGGGUCCUCUCUUCGUAGGCUAAUGCAUUGGCCCUUUUUUGACCCGUUUUGGGGCGAAAACAAAAACUGACUCCCGGGCAUAUUUUUUUCGGCCUUUAUGGGCAAAGAACUUUAAUACCGCUCAAAAUGAGGCCACCCAGUAGUUAGGUGUGAAUUUUCGAGACCUUUGGCAUCGUUCUAAGAUGGGUCCUCUCUUCGUAGGCUAAUGCAUUGGCCCUUUUUUGACCCGUUUUGGGGCGAAAACAAAAAACUGACUCCCGGCAUAUUUUUUUCGGCCUUUAUGGGCAAAGAACUUUAGUACCCGCUCAAAAUGAGGCCACCCAGUAGUUAGGUGUGAAUUUUCGAGACCUUUGGCAUCGUUCUAAGAUGGGUCCUCUCUUCGUAGGCUAAUGCAUUGGCCCUUUUUUGACCCCUUUUUGGGGCGAAAACAAAAACUGACUCCCGAGCAUAUUUUUUUCGGCCUUUAUGGGCAGAGAACUUUAGUACCGCUCAAAAUGAGGCCACCCAGUAGUUAGGUGUGAAUUUUCGAGACCUUUGGCAUCGUUCUAAGAUGGGUCCUCUCUUCGUAGGCUAAUGCAUUGGCCCUUUUUUGACCCGUUUUGGGGCGAAAACAAAAACUGACUCCCGGGCAUAUUUUUUUCGGCCUUUAUGGGCAAAGAACUUUAGUACCGCUCAAAAUGAGGCCACCCAGUAGUUAGGUGUGAAUUUUCGAGACCUUUGGCAUCGUUCUAAGAUGGGUCCUCUCUUCGUAGGCUAAUGCAUUGGCCCUUUUUUGACCACCGUUUUGGGGCGAAAAACAAAAACUGACUCCCGGGCAUAUUUUUUUCGGCCUUUAUGGGCAAAGAACUUUAGUACCGCUCAAAAUGAGGCCACCCAGUAGUUAGGUGUGAAUUUUCGAGACCUUUGGCACCGUUCUAAGAUGGGUCCUCUCUUCGUAGGCUAAUGCAUUGGCCCUUUUUUGACCCGUUUUGGGGCGAAAACAAAAACUGACUCCCGGGCAUAUUUUUUUCGGCCUUUAUGGGCAAAGAACUUUAAGUACCGCUCAAAAUGAGGCCACCCAGUAGUUAGGUGUGAAUUUUCGAGACCUUUGGCAUCGUUCUAAGAUGGGUCCUCUCUUCGUAGGCUAAUGCAUUGGCCCUUUUUUGACCCGUUUUGGGGCGAAAACAAAAACUGACUCCCGGGCAUAUUUUUUUCGGCCUUUAUGGGCAGAGAACUUUAGUACCGCUCAAAAUGAGGCCACCCAGUAGUUAGGUGUGAAUUUUCGAGACCUUUGGCAUCGUUCUAAGAUGGGUCCUCUCUUCGUAGGCUAAUGCAUUGGCCUUUUUUGACCCGUUUUGGGGCGAAAACAAAAACUGACUCCCGGGCAUAUUUUUUUCGGCCUUUAUGGGCAAAGAACUUUAGUACCGCUCAAAAUGAGGCCACCCAGUAGUUAGGUGUGAAUUUUCGAGACCUUUGGCACCGUUCUAAGAUGGGUCCUCUCUUCGUAGGCUAAUGCAUUGGCCCUUUUUGACCCGUUUUGGGGCGAAAACAAAAACUGACUCCCGGGCAUAUUUUUUUCGGCCUUUAUGGGCAAAGAACUUUAGUACCGCUCAAAAUGAGGCCACCCAGUAGUUAGGUGUGAAUUUUCGAGACCUUUGGCACCGUUCUAAGAUGGGUCCUCUCUUCGUAGGCUAAUGCAUUGGCCCUUUUUUGACCCGUUUUGGGGCGAAAACAAAAACUGACUCCCGGGCAUAUUUUUUUCGGCCUUUAUGGGCAAAGAACUUUAGUACCGCUCAAAAUGAGGCCACCCAGUAGUUAGGUGUGAAUUUUCGAGACCUUUGGCAUCGUUCUAAGAUGGGUCCUCUCUUCGUAGGCUAAUGCAUUGGCCCUUUUUUGACCCGUUUUGGGGCGAAAACAAAAACUGACUCCCGGGCAUAUUUUUUUCGGCCUUUAUGGGCAGAGAACUUUAGUACCGCUCAAAAUGAGGCCACCCAGUAGUUAGGUGUGAAUUUUCGAGACCUUUGGCAUCGUUCUAAGAUGGGUCCUCUCUUCGUAGGCUAAUGCAUUGGCCCUUUUUUGACCCGUUUUGGGGCGAAAACAAAAACUGACUCCCGGGCAUAUUUUUUUCGGCCUUUAUGGGCAGAGAACUUUAGUACCGCUCAAAAUGAGGCCACCCAGUAGUUAGGUGUGAAUUUUCGAGACCUUUGGCAUCGUUCUAAGAUGGGUCCUCUCUUCGUAGGCUAAUGCAUUGGCCCUUUUUUGACCCCUUUUUGGGGCGAAAACAAAAACUGACUCCCGAGCAUAUUUUUUUCGGCCUUUAUGGGCAAAGAACUUUAGUACCGCUCAAAAUGAGGCCACCCAGUAGUUAGGUGUGAAUUUUCGAGACCUUUGGCAUCGUUCUAAGAUGGGUCCUCUCUUCGUAGGCUAAUGCAUUGGCCCUUUUUUGACCCGUUUUGGGGCGAAAACAAAAACUGACUCCCGGGCAUAUUUUUUUCGGCCUUUAUGGGCAAAGAACUUUAGUACCGCUCAAAAUGAGGCCACCCAGUAGUUAGGUGUGAAUUUUCGAGACCUUUGGCAUCGUUCUAAGAUGGGUCCUCUCUUCGUAGGCUAAUGCAUUGGCCCUUUUUUGACCCGUUUUGGGGCGAAAACAAAAACUGACUCCCGGGCAUAUUUUUUUCGGCCUUUAUGGGCAAAGAACUUUAGUACCGCUCAAAAUGAGGCCACCCAGUAGUUAGGUGUGAAUUUUCGAGACCUUUGGCAUCGUUCUAAGAUGGGUCCUCUCUUCGUAGGCUAAUGCAUUGGCCCUUUUUUGACCCGUUUUGGGGCGAAAAACAAAAACUGACUCCCGGGCAUAUUUUUUUCGGCCUUUAUGGGCAAAGAACUUUAGUACCGCUCAAAAUGAGGCCACCCAGUAGUUAGGUGUGAAUUUUCGAGACCUUUUGGCAUCGUUCUAAGAUGGGUCCUCUCUUCGUAGGCUAAUGCAUUGGCCUUUUUUGACCCGUUUUGGGGCGAAAAACAAAAACUGACUCCCGGGCAUAUUUUUUUCGGCCUUUAUGGGCAAAGAACUUUAGUACCGCUCAAAAUGAGGCCACCCAGUAGUUAGGUGUGAAUUUUCGAGACCUUUGGCAUCGUUCUAAGAUGGGUCCUCUCUUCGUAGGCUAAUGCAUUGGCCCUUUUUUGACCCGUUUUGGGGCGAAAACAAAAACUGACUCCCGGGCAUAUUUUUUUCGGCCUUUAUGGGCAGAGAACUUUAGUACCGCUCAAAAUGAGGCCACCCAGUAGUUAGGUGUGAAUUUUCGAGACCUUUGGCAUCGUUCUAAGAUGGGUCCUCUCUUCGUAGGCUAAUGCAUUGGCCCUUUUUUGACCCGUUUUGGGGCGAAAACAAAAACUGACUCCCGGGCAUAUUUUUUUCGGCCUUUAUGGGCAAAGAACUUUAGUACCGCUCAAAAUGAGGCCACCCAGUAGUUAGGUGUGAAUUUUCGAGACCUUUGGCAUCGUUCUAAGAUGGGUCCUCUCUUCGUAGGCUAAUGCAUUGGCCCUUUUUGACCCGUUUUGGGGCGAAAACAAAAACUGACUCCCCCGGGCAUAUAUUUUUUCGGCCUUUAUGGGCAAAGAACUUUAGUACCGCUCAAAAUGAGGCCACCCAGUAGUUAGGUGUGAAUUUUCGAGACCUUUGGCAUCGUUCUAAGAUGGGUCCUCUCUUCGUAGGCUAAUGCAUUGGCCCUUUUUUGACCCGUUUUGGGGCGAAAACAAAAACUGACUCCCGGGCAUAUAUUUUUUCGGCCUUUAUGGGCAAAUAACUUUAGUACCGCUCAAAAUGAGGCCACCCAGUAGUUAGGUGUGAAUUUUCGAGACCUUUGGCAUCGUUCUAAGAUGGGUCCUCUCUUCGUAGGCUAAUGCAUUGGCCCAUUUUUGACCCGUUUUGGGGCGAAAACAAAAAACUGACUCCCGGGCAUAUUUUUUUCGGCCUUUAUGGGCAGAGAACUUUAGUACCGCUCAAAAUGAGGCCACCCAGUAGUUAGGUGUGAAUUUUCGAGACCUUUGGCAUCGUUCUAAGAUGGGUCCUCUCUUCGUAGGCUAAUGCAUUGGCCCUUUUUUGACCCGUUUUGGGGCGAAAACAAAAACUGACUCCCGGGCAUAUUUUUUUCGGCCUUUAUGGGCAAAGAACUUUAGUACCGCUCAAAAUGAGGCCACCCAGUAGUUAGGUGUGAAUUUUCGAGACCUUUGGCAUCGUUCUAAGAUGGGUCCUCUCUUCGUAGGCUAAUGCAUUGGCCCUUUUUUGACACGUUUUGGGGCGAAAACAAAAACUGACUCCCGGGCAUAUUUUUUUCGGCCUUUAUGGGCAAAGAACUUUAGUACCGCUCAAAAUGAGGCCACCCAGUAGUUAGGUGUGAAUUUUCGAGACCUUUGGCAUCGUUCUAAGAUGGGUCCUCUCUUCGUAGGCUAAUGCAUUGGCCCUUUUUUGACCCGUUUUGGGGCGAAAACAAAAACUGACUCCCGGGCAUAUUUUUUUCGGCCUUUAUGGGCAAAGAACUUUAGUACCGCUCAAAAUGAGGCCACCCAGUAGUUAGGUGUGAAUUUUCGAGACCUUUGGCAUCGUUCUAAGAUGGGUCCUCUCUUCGUAGGCUAAUGCAUUGGCCUUUUUUGACCCGUUUUGGGGCGAAAACAAAAACUGACUCCCGGGCAUAUUUUUUUCGGCCUUUAUGGGCAAAGAACUUUAGUACCGCUCAAAAUGAGGCCACCCAGUAGUUAGGUGUGAAUUUUCGAGACCUUUGGCAUCGUUCUAAGAUGGGUCCUCUCUUCGUAGGCUAAUGCAUUGGCCCUUUUUUGACCCGUUUUGGGGCGAAAACAAAAACUGACUCCCGGGCAUAUUUUUUUCGGCCUUUAUGGGCAAAGAACUUUAGUACCGCUCAAAAUGAGGCCACCCAGUAGUUAGGUGUGAAUUUUCGAGACCUUUGGCAUCGUUCUAAGAUGGGUCCUCUCUUCGUAGGCUAAUGCAUUGGCCCUUUUUUGACCCGUUUUGGGGCGAAAACAAAAACUGACUCCCGGGCAUAUUUUUUUCGGCCUUUAUGGGCAAAGAACUUUAGUACCGCUCAAAAUGAGGCCACCCAGUAGUUAGGUGUGAAUUUUCGAGACCUUUGGCAUCGUUCUAAGAUGGGUCCUCUCUUCGUAGGCUAAUGCAUUGGCCCUUUUUUGACCCGUUUUGGGGCGAAAACAAAAACUGACUCCCGGGCAUAUUUUUUUCGGCCUUUAUGGGCAAAGAACUUUAGUACCGCUCAAAAUGAGGCCACCCAGUAGUUAGGUGUGAAUUUUCGAGACCUUUGGCAUCGUUCUAAGAUGGGUCCUCUCUUCGUAGGCUAAUGCAUUGGCCCUUUUUUGACCCGUUUUGGGGCGAAAACAAAAACUGACUCCCGGGCAUAUUUUUUUCGGCCUUUAUGGGCAAAGAACUUUAGUACCGCUCAAAAUGAGGCCACCCAGUAGUUAGGUGUGAAUUUUCGAGACCUUUGGCAUCGUUCUAAGAUGGGUCCUCUCUUCGUAGGCUAAUGCAUUGGCCCUUUUUUGACCCGUUUUGGGGCGAAAACAAAAACUGACUCCCGGGCAUAUUUUUUUCGGCCUUUAUGGGCAAAGAACUUUAGUACCGCUCAAAAUGAGGCCACCCAGUAGUUAGGUGUGAAUUUUCGAGACCUUUGGCAUCGUUCUAAGAUGGGUCCUCUCUUCGUAGGCUAAUGCAUUGGCCCUUUUUUGACCCGUUUUGGGGCGAAAACAAAAACUGACUCCCGGGCAUAUUUUUUUCGGCCUUUAUGGGCAAAGAACUUUAGUACCGCUCAAAAUGAGGCCACCCAGUAGUUAGGUGUGAAUUUUCGAGACCUUUGGCAUCGUUCUAAGAUGGGUCCUCUCUUCGUAGGCUAAUGCAUUGGCCCUUUUUUGACCCGUUUUGGGGCGAAAACAAAAACUGACUCCCGGGCAUAUUUUUUUCGGCCUUUAUGGGCAAAGAACUUUAGUACCGCUCAAAAUGAGGCCACCCAGUAGUUAGGUGUGAAUUUUCGAGACCUUUGGCAUCGUUCUAAGAUGGGUCCUCUCUUCGUAGGCUAAUGCAUUGGCCUUUUUGACCCGUUUUGGGGCGAAAACAAAAACUGACUCCAGGGCAUAUUUUUUUCGGCCUUCAUGGGCAAAGAACUUUAGUACCGCUCAAAAUGAGGCCACCCAGUAGUUAGGUGUGAAUUUUCGAGACCUUUGGCAUCGUUCUAAGAUGGGUCCUCUCUUCGUAGGCUAAUGCAUUGGCCCUUUUUUGACCCGUUUUGGGGCGAAAACAAAAGCUGACUCCCGGGCAUAUUUUUUUCGGCCUUCAUGGGCAAAGAACUUUAGUACCGCUCAAAAUGAGGCCACCCAGUAGUUAGGUGUGAAUUUUCGAGACCUUUGGCAUCGUUCUAAGAUGGGUCCUCUCUUCGUAGGCUAAUGCAUUGGCCCUUUUUUGACCCGUUUUGGGGCGAAAACAAAAACUGACUCCCGGGCAUAUUUUUUUCGGCCUUUAUGGGCAAAGAACUUUAGUACCGCUCAAAAUGAGGCCACCCAGUAGUUAGGUGUGAAUUUUCGAGACCUUUGGCAUCGUUCUAAGAUGGGUCCUCUCUUCGUAGGCUAAUGCAUUGGCCCUUUUUUGACCCGUUUUGGGGCGAAAACAAAAACUGACUCCCGGGCAUAUUUUUUUCGGCCUUUAUGGGCAAAGAACUUUAGUACCGCUCAAAAUGAGGCCACCCAGUAGUUAGGUGUGAAUUUUCGAGACCUUUGGCAUCGUUCUAAGAUGGGUCCUCUCUUCGUAGGCUAAUGCAUUGGCCCUUUUUUGACCUGUUUUGGGGCGAAAACAAAAGCUGACUCCUGGGCAUAUUUUUUUCGGCCUUUGUGGGCAAAGAACUUCAGUACCGCUCAAAAUGAGGCCACCCAGUAGUUAGGUGUGAAUUUUCGAGACCUUUGGCAUCGUUCUAAGAUGGGUCCUCUCUUCGUAGGCUAAUGCAUUGGCCCUUUUUUUACCCGUUUUGGGGCGAAAACAAAAACUGACUCUCGGGCAUAUUU